GUGGGGAAUAUUGGACAAUGGGCGCAAGCCUGAUCCAGCCAUACCGCGUGGGUGAAGAAGGCCUUCGGGUUGUAAAGCCCUUUUGUUGGGAAAGAAAUCCUAUCGAUUAAUACUCGGUGGGGAUGACGGUACCCAAAGAAUAAGCACCGGCUAACUUCGUGCCAGCAGCCGCGGUAAUACGAAGGGUGCAAGCGUUACUCGGAAUUACUGGGCGUAAAGCGUGCGUAGGUGGUUGUUUAAGUCUGCUGUGAAAGCCCUGGGCUCAACCUGGGAAUUGCAGUGGAUACUGGGCAACUAGAGUGUGGUAGAGGGAUGCGGAAUUUCUGGUGUAGCAGUGAAAUGCGUAGAGAUCAGAAGGAACAUCCGUGGCGAAGGCGGCAUCCUGGGCCAACACUGACACUGAGGCACGAAAGCGUGGGGAGCAAACAGGAUUAGAAACCCGAGUAGUCC
rnacentral:rRNA from 1 species